UCGAUGCAACGCGAAGAACCUUACCUGGCCUUGACAUCCAGAGAACUUAGCAGAGAUGCUUUGGUGCCUUCGGGAACUCUGAGACAGGUGCUGCAUGGCCGUCGUCAGCUCGUGUUGUGAAAUGUUGGGUUAAGUCCCGCAACGAGCGCAACCCUUAUCCUUUGUUGCCAGCGGUUCGGCCGGGAACUCAAAGGAGACUGCCGGUGAUAAACCGGAGGAAGGUGGGGAUGACGUCAAGUCAUCAUGGCCCUUACGGCCAGGGCUACACACGUGCUACAAUGGCGCAUACAAAGAGAAGCGACCUCGCGAGAGCAAGCGGACCUCAUAAAGUGCGUCGUAGUCCGGAUUGGAGUCUGCAACUCGACUCCAUGAAGUCGGAAUCGCUAGUAAUCGUAGAUCAGAAUGCUACGGUGAAUACGUUCCCGGGCCUUGUACACACCGCCCGUCACACCAUGGGAGUGGGUUGCAAAAGAAGUAGGUAGCUUAACCUCCGGGAGGGCGCUUACCACUUUGUGAUUCAUGACUGGGGUGAAGUCGUAACAAGGUAACCAAGGGCGAAUUCUG
rnacentral:rRNA from 1 species